CCCACUUCUCUGUGGAGCAGUUUGAGAACCAUUGGCUUGAUACAGUGGUCGCUGUUAAAAUCCGGAGAUAGCUUUUGCGAUUAGGCAGCGUUUCCCAGGCGCUGGCUGUGCCUGCCAUGCUUAGGGAAUGGCACCAGCCUCCGACAACACUCAGGGCUUUACUGUGUGGAGCUCAGGUUUCAGUAACAAGCGUGGUAAAGGGGUGACUGUGUGUGGCUCUGUAGUGGCUGGAGGCAGUGCCAGUGUCUAAUUGUGCCCCCGUUCACAGGGACACGGAGCUGAGGCAGCGGCGGCAGCUGUACGAGGCCGGUCUCCACUCCUCGGCGCGCUACGGCAGCCACGACAGCAGCAGCACCGGCGUGGAUGGCAAGAAAAAGCCUCGAAAGUGGUUGCAGUUAGAAACGUCAGAGAGGAGGUGUCAGAUCUGUCAGCACCUGUGCUAUCUUUCCAUGGUUGUACAGGAGAAUGAAAAUGUUGUCUUCUGCUUGGAGUGUGCCCUGCGGCACGUGGAGAAGCAGAAGUCGUGCCGGGGGCUGAAGAUGAUGUACCGCUACGAUGAGG